rnacentral:rRNA from 1 species
AGAAUCAACGCUGGCGGCGUGCCUCAGACAUGCAAGUCGAACGCGAAAGUCCCCUUCGGGGGGCAAGUAGAGUGGCGCACGGGUGAGUAACACGUAGGUAAUCUACCUUUGGAUGGGGAAUAACAACCGGAAACGGUUGCUAAUACCGCAUAAUGCAGCGGCACCUAAUGGUGACAGUUGUUAAAGCGGGGGAUCGAAAGACCUCGCGUCUAAAGAGGAGCCUGCGGCGGAUUAGCUAGUUGGUAAGGUAAUGGCUUACCAAGGCGACGAUCC